GAACUUGGCCACCCUGCCACUGUCGGAGGGAAGCCCCUGCGGUGCUUCUGUCGUUCCACAUAAGACCUGAGCCCCCGAGGACUCAUCUGAAGAUGGACAAAGCCGGUAGUGUGGGGAGACCGGCAUGGGCGCCGCUGUGAGCCAGUUGCCAGUGAUGGGGGCCGGACCAGCUCAGGGUGUCAGAGGAGUUGGGAAGGUCCGUGUGGCUGGAGAGGCUGGGCGGGGUGGCCUCGGGGACCCUGGAGCAGAGGCCUGCAUCUGGACGUCAGCUCUGAUGACACGGGCCCUUGGAGGGUUUCCAGCUGGGGAGGUUUGAUUAUGCUCGGAAUUACGGUAUCUUGGCACAAUUACAAACUGCCCCCAAAGAGGCAAGAGUAGUAUAAGAAUCCCAGAUACAUAGAUCUGCAAAGGUGAAACUUUUAAACCCCUGUACUCUGUGGAGGUGACCUUAUUUGGAACUGGGGUCUUUGAGGGUAUAAAUGACCUCAGAUGAGGCCACAUUGGCUAAAGGAAGGGGGCUGCUACACCCGACAGGACUGGUGUCCUUUUAUAAGAGGGAAAUUUGGACAGCUGCAGAGAGAAGGCCAUGGGUGUGAACACAGGCUGAGAUCCCAGUCGUGCUGGCACAAGGUGAGGGCCACUGGCAGCCACAAGGUGGGGGACAGGAAGGACCCCCACUGGCGCCUUCAGAGGGAGCAGGGCCCUGCCCACACCUUGAUUUGGGCUGCUAGCCUAUGGAAAUGAGAGACAGUACAUUUGUGCUGGUUCAAUCUAUCCAAGUUUGCAGAAAUUUGUUAUGCCAGCCCAAGUGUGCUCUGACUCCACGGAGCCCACCUCCCGAGGCUCCCUGGCUGGCCCGCAGGUCCUUGUGGCCUCCAGGGACUGACAAGUCAAGGGCAGGGCUGCCAAUUGGGUCCCUUGCCGUGCACGCUGGCAAGUGUCAGGACACACUUCAGACUCAGAAAGUGCAAGGAUAGUACAAAGAGUUCCCAGAGGCCUUUCGCCCAGAUUUUCCAGUUGUUACUACAUUCCCUUUACACUCCACCUGUCUCUGUCCCCAUGAUUUGAAUCUAAGUAACUGUCACCUCCUUAUCCUCUCCCUAUCUGGUUUUCCUGAAUGGCUGGGAAGUUGCAGACAUGAUGUCCCUUUAUUCUAACUAUCUUCAUGUGAAUUUCCUGAAAAGAGAGGAUUGUUUUCCAUAACCACAAUACAACUGCCAGAAUCAAGAAGUUAAGCUAAAACUGUUUCCAAAAAGGUCUUUU